rnacentral:rRNA from 1 species
UACACAUGCAAGUCGAACGGCAGCGGGUCCUUCGGGACGCCGGCGAGUGGCGAACGGGUGAGUAAUGCAUCGGAACGUACCCAGUAGUGGGGGAUAACUUACCGAAAGGUAAGCUAAUACCGCAUACGCACUGAGGUGGAAAGCAGGGGACCGCAAGGCCUUGCGCUAUUGGAGCGGCCGAUGUCGGAUUAGCUAGUUGGUGGGGUAAAGGCCUACCAAGGCGACGAUCCGUAGCGGGUCUGAGAGGAUGAUCCGCCACACUGGAACUGAGACACGGUCCAGACUCCUACGGGAGGCAGCAGUGGGGAAUUUUGGACAAUGGGCGCAAGCCUGAUCCAGCCAUGCCGCGUGAGUGAAGAAGGCCUUCGGGUUGUAAAGCUCUUUCGGCCGGGAAGGAAUCGUGGUGGCGAAUACCUGCCAUGGACGACGGUACCGGACUAAGAAGCACCGGCUAACUACGUGCCAGCAGCCGCGGUAAUACGUAGGGUGCGAGCGUUAAUCGGAAUUACUGGGCGUAAAGCGUGCGCAGGCGGUUGUGUAAGACAGGCGUGAAAUCCCCGGGCUCGACCUGGGAACUGCGCUUGUGACUGCACGGCUAGAGUACGGCAGAGGGGGGUGGAAUUCCACGUGUAGCAGUGAAAUGCGUAGAGAUGUGGAGGAACACCGAUGGCGAAGGCAGCCCCCUGGGUCGAUACUGACGCUCAUGCACGAAAGCGUGGGGAGCAAACAGGAUUAGAUACCCUGGUAGUCCACGCCCUAAACGAUGUCGACUAGUUGUUGGAGGGGUAAAACCCUUUAGUAACGUAGCUAACGCGUGAAGUCGACCGCCUGGGGAGUACGGCCGCAAGGUUAAAACUCAAAGGAAUUGACGGGGACCCGCACAAGCGGUGGAUGAUGUGGAUUAAUUCGAUGCACGCGAAAACCCUUCCUACCCUUGCCAUGCCAGGAACUGCCCAGAGAUGGCUUGGUGCCCCCAAGGGAACCUGGCCCCAGGGUGCUGCAUGGCGUUGUUCAGUUGGUUUCGUGAGAUGUUGGGUUAAUUCCCCCAACGAGCCCAACCCUUGCCAUUAGUUCCCUCCAUUUGUUUGGCCAUUUUAAUGAGACUCCCGGUGCCAACCCGGAGGAAGGUGGGGAGGACGUCAAUUCUUCAUGGCCUUUAUGGGUAGGGCUUCCCACUUCAUCCAAUGGUCGGUCCAGAGGGUGCCCAACCCGGGAGGGGGACCCAUUUUCAGAAACCCAAUGUUAUUCCGGAUUCCAUUUUCCAAUUGUUUUCCAGAAUUCGAAU